AGAGUUUGAUUAUGGCUCAGGAUGAACGCUAGCGACAGGCUUAACACAUGCAAGUCGAGGGGCAGCAUAAAAGUAGCAAUACUUUGGUGGCGACCGGCGCACGGGUGAGUAGCGCGUAUGCAACCUACCUAUCAGAGGGGAAUAACCCGGCGAAAGUCGGACUAAUACCGCAUAAAACAGGGACACCGCAUGGUGAUAUUUGUUAAAGAAAUUCGCUGAUAGAUGGGCAUGCGUUCCACUAGGUAGUUGGUGAGGUAACGGCUCACCAAGCCGACGAUGGAUAGGGGAACUGAGAGGUUGGUCCCCCACACUGGUACUGAGACACGGACCAGACUCCUACGGGAGGCAGCAGUGAGGAAUAUUGGUCAAUGGGCGAGAGCCUGAACCAGCCAAGUCGCGUGAAAGGAAGAAGGAUCUAUGGUUCGUAAACUUCUUUUGCAGGGGAAUAAAGUGCAGGACGUGUCCUGUUUUGUAUGUACCCUGAGAAUAAGGAUCGGCUAACUCCGUGCCAGCCGCUGC
rnacentral:rRNA from 1 species